GGAUCCAGACUUUGACUAUGGCUCAGGAUGAACGCUAGCUACAGGCUUAACACAUGCAAGUCGAGGGGCAGCAUGGUCUUAGCUUGCUAAGGCUGAUGGCGACCGGCGCACGGGUGAGUAACACGUAUCCAACCUGCCGUCUACUCUUGGCCAGCCUUCUGAAAGGAAGAUUAAUCCAGGAUGGCAUCAUGAGUUCACAUGUCCGCAUGAUUAAAGGUAUUUUCCGGUAGACGAUGGGGAUGCGUUCCAUUAGAUAGUAGGCGGGGUAACGGCCCACCUAGUCAACGAUGGAUAGGGGUUCUGAGAGGAAGGUCCCCCACAUUGGAACUGAGACACGGUCCAAACUCCUACGGGAGGCAGCAGUGAGGAAUAUUGGUCAAUGGGCGAUGGCCUGAACCAGCCAAGUAGCGUGAAGGAUGACUGCCCUAUGGGUUGUAAACUUCUUUUAUAAAGGAAUAAAGUCGGGUAUGCAUACCCGUUUGCAUGUACUUUAUGAAUAAGGAUCGGCUAACUCCGUGCCAGCAGCCGCGGUAAUACGGAGGAUCCGAGCGUUAUCCGGAUUUAUUGGGUUUAAAGGGAGCGUAGAUGAUGUUUAAGUCAGUUGUGAAAGUUUGCGGCUCAACCGUAAAAUUGCAGUUGAUACUGGAUGUCUUGAGUGCAGUUGAGGCAGGCGGAAUUCGUGGUGUAGCGGUGAAAUGCUUAGAUAUCACGAAGAACUCCGAUUGCGAAGGCAGCCUGCUAAGCUGCAACUGACAUUGAGGCUCGAAAGUGUGGGUAUCAAACAGGAUUAGAUACCCUGGUAGUCCACACGGUAAACGAUGAAUACUCGCUGUUUGCGAUAUACGGCAAGCGGCCAAGCGAAAGCGUUAAGUAUUCCACCUGGGGAGUACGCAGGG
rnacentral:rRNA from 1 species